rfam:Drosophila virilis strain TSC#15010-1051.87 Ctg01_17525, whole genome shotgun sequence.
UCGUAACUUGUGUGGCUUGAAUGUACCUGGUUGAGGAACGAAUUCAACGUUUGGAUUUUGUUGCCUUUGGUAUUCGAGCCAAUAAGUUCGG